GACGAACGCGGCGGCGUGCUUAACACAUGCAAGUCGAACGAUGAAGCCUAGCUGCUAGGUGGAUUAGUGGCGAACGGGUGAGUAAUACGUGAGUAACCUACCUUUAACUCUGGGAUAAGCCUGGGAAACUGGGUCUAAUACCGGAUACGACCGAUCUCCGCAUGGGGUGUUGGUGGAAAGCGUUAUGUAGUGGUUAUAGAUGGGCUCACGGCCUAUCAGCUUGUUGGUGAGGUAACGGCUCACCAAGGCGACGACGGGUAGCCGGCCUGAGAGGGUGACCGGCCACACUGGGACUGAGACACGGCCCAGACUCCUACGGGAGGCAGCAGUGGGGAAUAUUGCACAAUGGGCGCAAGCCUGAUGCAGCGACGCCGCGUGAGGGAUGACGGCCUUCGGGUUGUAAACCUCUGUUAGCAGGGAAGAAGAGAAAUUGACGGUACCUGCAGAGAAAGCGCCGGCUAACUACGUGCCAGCAGCCGCGGUAAUACGUAGGGCGCGAGCGUUGUCCGGAAUUAUUGGGCGUAAAGAGCUUGUAGGCGGUUUGUCGCGUCUGCUGUGAAAGGCCGGGGCUUAACCCCGUGUAUUGCAGUGGGUACGGGCAGACUAGAGUGCAGUAGGGGAGACUGGAAUUCCUGGUGUAGCGGUGGAAUGCGCAGAUAUCAGGAGGAACACCGAUGGCGAAGGCAGGUCUCUGGGCUGUAACUGACGCUGAGAAGCGAAAGCAUGGGGAGCGAACAGG
rnacentral:rRNA from 1 species